rnacentral:rRNA from 1 species
AUUGAACGCUGGCGGAAUGCUUUACACAUGCAAGUCGAACGGUAGAGGGGGCAACCCCUCGAGAGUGGCGAACGGGUGAGUAAUAUAUCGGAACGUGCCCAGUCGUGGGGGAUAACGUAGCGAAAGUUACGCUAAUACCGCAUACGAUCUAAGGAUGAAAGCGGGGGAUCGCAAGACCUCGCGCGAUUGGAGCGGCCGAUAUCAGAUUAGGUAGUUGGUGGGGUAAAGGCUCACCAAGCCAACGAUCUGUAGCUGGUCUGAGAGGACGAGCAGGCAGACUGGAAAUGAGACACGGUCCAGACUGCGAGAGGAGGCAGCAGUGGGAAAUUUUGGACAAUGGACGCAAGUCUGAUACAGCCCUUCAGCUGGCAGGAUGAAGGCCCUCGGGUUGUAAACUGCUUUUGUACGGAACGAAAAGGUCUCUCUUAAUACGGGGGGCUCAUGACGGUACCGUAAGAAUAAGCACCGGCUAACUACGUGCCAGCCGCCGCAGUAA